GGGCGCUGAUAGGCAGAAUUCCGAGCGUAUCCCCCAAGAUUCCCACCCCUCGGCUUUCUCCAUCAAACGCUCACCUAGGUGCUGCUGUGAAGGGGCUGUGCAGAUGGAAUCAGGGUUAUGAAGCAGCUCCCCUCAACACAGGGGAACAUCCCGGAUUGUCGAGUGGCCCAGGGCAGUCCCAUGAGCCUUCAUGAGCACCAGUGAGAGAGAUGUGGCAGCGGGGGGCACGCAGAUACCCAAAUAGGAGAGGGCCCCCCCAGACGCUGGCCUGAUGCUGGAGGACGGGGGCCACGAGCCAAGGAGAGGAAUUGCCAAGACCCGGGGGCCACCUAGCCGAUAGCCAGUGCGGGAACGUGGAUCCCACCCGGUGACCUUGGAAGUGACUCAUCCCAGAGCCGCCGUCAAGAAGCACAGGCUACGAGCUGAAACCGCCCACGUGAGUUCACAGGACUUGAAAUGGACUCAGCGAGAGGCACUUCUUUGUCACUGUUUCACUCUUUGUGCCCAUGGAGACCCUCAUGUGCCCAGAGGGACUGCCCACAGCUGGAAGCCACGUAUUUUAUGCCAAGACGCGACCAUCUCAGGAUCACGGUCUAGCAGGCCACGAGGAGUCGCAAACAAGCCGCCUGGCCUCCGGGCGGCUUCCCCCCAGGCUGCUCCUCCUCGGCGAGACCUAGCGUCCAGGUCUGGCGACACGCCCCAGCUGGCACGCACACGAACCCGGCCUUGCAUCCCAGCUCGGCCACUUCCCAGUUAUGUGGCCUUGAACAACUCCUUUCACUGUCCGAGUCUCAGUUUUACGAGCCAUAAAAUGGGCUGGCAUCUCACAUACGUGCCACUCUCAGAUGGAAGACAACUCAGCCCCACUAAGGGAACCCGCGAUCCCCUCCUGUGCCCUCUCCGCGGGGCAUCCACAAUGGGUAGGAUCCUAGUAGUUCAGGGAAUAUGUUUUUUUAAUAACACAGCCCCUGAAAAUAUAAGCCACUAUUUCAUUUUAUCAACCAAUGAGCCCUAUGGGUUCUAGUGCUGGAGGAAGACGUAGCCGAACUGGUCUCAGUGAGAUAUUAAUGCCCGCCGGGUCUACAGCGUGACACCCCCCGAGAGGCGUGUGCGAACCCACCACGGCGGAGGCCACACCACUAUGCCUGCCUGGCUCUGUGCAAAGAGAGACAAGAGCACCUGACACUUGGAGGUGCCUGAAUGGGAGCUAUUACUGGGCUCUCUCUCUCUCUCUCUCUCUCUCUCUCUCUCUCUCUCUCCCAUCUCUUUAUUAGGUUUUGAGAGCGGCUGCCCCACUGGUCUCCCCGCCUGCCUCUAGCUCCUCACCUGCUGGUUCUCCGCGCUCCCGUGGCCAUCAGGACUGUUCUGGACGCGCAGAACCUGUCGCCAGACUGGAGCGGAGAGUCUAGUCUCCGUCUGGCUCACCAAGCCCACCCCGUCCAGGCUCCUGCCCAGCUGUCACCUCGGGGCCCCGCUCUGUGAUCCAGGAAACGGUGACAGCAGCUCUAAGAAAUGGAACAAAAUAUUCCCGCUGUAAUGGGAAAGCCUCUUACGGGAGGAAAAAAACGAAUGUUAAUGGUGAAUCUUCCAAAUGUGACCUACCGGGUGUAACAACUAAAAACGCCUGCUUCCUCCCUCAUGCAAAUGCUCCAGUUAAACUGGCUCCUUAAACAGCCUUAUAGGUAAGAGAAAAUAAACAGAAGCUGCUUAAAAAGUUUAAUAGCCCAUACUUCCUUCCAGACAGGAAUCUAUUACAGCGGAGGAAAAAAAAAAAAAAACAAAAAACAAAAAACUCAGCUUCUUGUGUUUCCUCACUCUGAGCAAAAGAGAAAACCUGGACGCCCGAAACUCUGCCUUGAGAAAACCCAACAUAGGGGUCUGGGUCUUUAAAAAUAAAAUGGCUAAGAAGUGACCAUUUGUUCUCUAAAAGGAUUAGCUGCUUUACAAAAGGAUUAUCUGCGUUUUUCUAAAAGGUACUAAGCUUAGCCCGUGUAUGUAAACCGCAAUCCGAGUCAAGGUAACUUUUCAGGACUAUGUUAAUGCUGUGACACUGGGUAUAUUUGAGAUGAAAACUAACCCUGGAGCUCAGCACAAACCAGGUGGCCGGACGUCUGCUGCUUGGGGGCUGCCCUCUGCAUCUAUACCUUCUUCCUACGUCCCGGCAUCCCUGUUACAGGUCCCAGGGCAGGGUCCCACCCGCCGGCCCCGCCCUCCAUGCACCUGUAGCGAAACUUCAGCAGGCUCCGACAAUCAAUCCUGCCCAAGCCUUCGGCUCUUCGGGAUGAGUCACAGACCCAGGGACGUUUCGGAAGUGUCCGCAGAAGCCACAGCUGUGACAGGCCGGUGCCAGCAAUGCCCAGGAGCUUCAGCGCCACGGACCACAGGCCACAUCCUUACCAAAAGCUUCCCGCGGCUGGACUUAAAUUGUGGUUGAGAGCCUCCCGGGCUCCUGCCCCCUUUCUGAACCUUGUUCUCCAGACUUCCGGUUGAUUCUGAGAACUAUCCAGUAACUUCUGUCCAGUUCCUUUUCUUGGUAAGUUAACCAGAGUCAGAUUCGGUGGCCUCCAGCUAAAAGCCACAGCCCACACACCCAAGAUAAUGAAAAAUGAGGGUUCCUCACCAGCAUGUACCCUCGGGAAAGAGCCGCUCCUUCUUCCCCACAUGAAAGGGGCCAACCUGUGCGACCCACAGGACACUGCGGGGAAGACAAGAUGACUUCUGAGGUCAGGUCCCAAAAGAGGUUGUGGUUUCUGCCUCGCUUCCUCUGGGAUCGCUCUCUCUGGGGGAAGGCAGUUGCCGGAACAGGAAGAUGCUCCCGCGGUGCUGUGGGUGACUCCCCGUGGAGGGGAACGGAGGCCUCCUGCCCCACCGCCAGUGUCACUUUGCCGGUCAUGGAAAUGGGUCUUCUUCGAGUGCCGGCCACGCCUGCAGGGGUGCUGGCUUCGGGCAGGUGAGAUGAGGGAGAGCCGCCAAUUCUGUCCCGGCGCUCAGAAAACCGCAUCAGCAUAGUUGACAGGAGCAGCCUCUUCUGUGCCUGGGAACGUGCAUUUCCAGGAAUCCCAGGGCCUCCUCCAAAUGCAGACACAUGGUGCCGAUGGGUGAGGUGUUCUCGAUCUGUUUAUGCAUCACAACAGCGACUCUGUCGCAAGCUCGCCUAUAGUUGUACCAACGCUCAGUAACUUCUAGAUUGAAAAAUUAUGUAUUACCAAGGGGUGCCUGGGCGGCUCAGUCAGUUAAGCAUCUGACUUCGGCUCGGGUCAUGAUCUCACAGUUCGUGGGUUCGAGCCCCGCGUUGGGCUCUGUGCUGACAG